CCUACGGGAGGCAGCAGUGGGGAAUCUUGCGCAAUGGGCGAAAGCCUGACGCAGCCAUGCCGCGUGAAUGAUGAAGGUCUUAGGAUUGUAAAAUUCUUUCACCGGGGACGAUAAUGACGGUACCCGGAGAAGAGGCCCCGGCUAACUUCGUGCCAGCAGCCGCGGUAAUACGAAGGGGGCUAGCGUUGCUCGGAAUUACUGGGCGUAAAGGGAGCGUAGGCGGAUAGUUUAGUCAGAGGUGAAAGCCCAGGGCUCAACCUUGGAAUUGCCUUUGAUACUGGCUAUCUUGAGUACGGAAGAGGUAUGUGGAACUCCGAGUGUAGAGGUGAAAUUCGUAGAUAUUCGGAAGAACACCAGUGGCGAAGGCGACAUACUGGUCCGUUACUGACGCUGAGGCUCGAAAGCGUGGGGAGCAAACAGGAUUAGAUACCCUGGUAGUCCACGCUGUAAACGAUGAGUGCUAGUUGUCGGCAUGCAUGCAUGUCGGUGACGCAGCUACGACAUAAGUACACUCCGCCGUCGGGGAGGUACGGUCGGCGAGAAGUUAAACUAACGAAAGAAGUAGUACGGCGUGAGACGUGCCGACGGACGACGACGAGGGAGGAGG
rnacentral:rRNA from 1 species